rnacentral:rRNA from 1 species
UGCAAGUCGAACGGAAAGGCCCUGCUUGCAGGGUACUCGAGUGGCGAACGGGUGAGUAACACGUGGGUGAUCUGCCCUGCACUUCGGGAUAAGCCUGGGAAACUGGGUCUAAUACCGGAUAGGACCAUCGUUUAGUGUCGGUGGUGGAAAGUUUUUUCGGUGUGGGAUGAGCUCGCGGCCUAUCAGCUUGUUGGUGGGGUAAUGGCCUACCAAGGCGUCGACGGGUAGCCGGCCUGAGAGGGUGGACGGCCACAUUGGGACUGAGACACGGCCCAGACUCCUACGGGAGGCAGCAGUGGGGAAUAUUGCACAAUGGGCGCAAGCCUGAUGCAGCGACGCCGCGUGGGGGACGACGGCCUUCGGGUUGUAAACUCCUUUCAACCNUGACGAAGCUUUCGGCUGACGGUAGUGGUAGAAG